rnacentral:tRNA from 1 species
GAGCGCGGUGGCGAGGCCGGCCACGGUCGGUGUCUCGAAGACCUCGCGGACCCCCAGUUCGACGCCGAGGGUGCUGC